UGGCUCUCGCAUCGAUGAAGAACGCAGCGAAAUGCGAUAAGUAAUGUGAAUUGCAGAAUUCAGUGAAUCAUCGAAUCUUUGAACGCACCUUGCGCUCCUUGGUAUUCCGAGGAGCAUGCCUGUUUGAGUGUCAUUAAAUUCUCAACCCACCCAUCUGUGUAUGCAGACUUGGGCUUGGGCUUGGAUGUGGGGGCUUGCAGGUCCGCCUUUGCGGGUGGUCUGCUCCUCUGAAAUGCAUUAGUGGGUUUGUGCCCCUCAUCUCUUGGUGUGAUAAUUAUCUACGCCGCUGGGGGAUGCAUCAACGAAACCUGCUCAUAACCGUCCGUCUCGGCCAACUUUGAUCAUUUUGACCUCAAAUCAGGUAAGACUACCCGCUGA
rnacentral:misc_RNA from 1 species